rnacentral:tRNA from 1 species
GCCCCUGUAGCUCAAAUAGAUAGAGCCACCGCUAGCUACGUGUGAGAUGCGGGUGCAAGACCCGCCAGGGGCA